GCGCGACCACCAGUUGGCGUUGCACCCCGCAGCUGCCGCGGGCCGGCCUUCCUCGCUCCAAGUAUUCGCGCGGCCGGCCCUUGCCGGUCGUCGGUUCGAAUCCGACGUCGCGCGCCA
rnacentral:tRNA from 1 species